GACACGUUCCUUAGAUCCACCUCUAGGGGGUGCUCAGGUGCUGGAGCCGCUCCACCCUCUUGGGGUUCAGCAUCUCCAGCCCCGGUGGCCCCCAGCAACUUGCCGGUUGUACGGUUGGAGGUGCUUGAGUCAUUGGCGUGUGAGAGCAGUCCACCUGCCCCCUAGCCGUCUGCUGCACUGGCACCCCCUACUGGCAGGAAACUCCCAGUGCAGCUAGGCUGGGUGGCGGACAGU
rnacentral:snoRNA from 1 species